rnacentral:hammerhead_ribozyme from 1 species
GCACUGCUGAGGAGUCCCAUAAUAGGACUAACGGCCGUCCAGUGC